rnacentral:SRP_RNA from 1 species
UGAGGCAGGAGAAUCGCUUGAACCCAGGAGGCAGAGGUUGCAGUGAGCUGAGAUCACGCCACUGCACUGCAGCCUGGGCGACAGAGUGAGACUCUGUCUCAAUAAUAAUAAAAUAAUAAUAAUAAUAAUAAAUUUUUUUUUUUUUUUUUUUUUUUUGAGACGGAGUCUCGCUCUGUCGCCCAGGCUGGAGUGCAGUGGCGCGAUCUCGGCUCACUGCAAGCUCCGCCUCCCGGGUUCACGCCAUUCUCCUGCCUCAGCCUCCCGAGUAGCUGGGACUACAGGCGCCCACAACCGCGCCCGGC